UCCGAUCCGCUCCCUUCCGACGCUUGUAUUGAUCCGUGACGCGUCGACUAUUUUUAGCUGGUAGCAAAAUGGCAGGCAUGGAUGUAAACAUGUGCGCCGAGAUGUUGUGGAUUGAUACUAUGCGUGUGGAUGUCGAACUAUGCAGGAGAUAUGACUCCUGUACUACUUGUGUUGUGUAGAAGAGGUGAAAGAUGCGGGGUACCCGUGUCAUGGUGUUUGAUUCCAUAUGCUGUGUGCUCAAGUGACUCAUUACAAUCAACUGCUUCAGCCCCUAAGUUGAAUUUAUCCAAUUGCAUUUAACAUGUUUUUGGCUUAUGCGUGAGACUAUCUGCAUCAAUUGGUGAAUUGGCUGGUUCUACCUCCCUAUGUUCCUGCCUGUUACCCAGCUUUUCCUAUGUGGAGACUAUCGGCAUGAUUUUGUAUGAGGAAAACAAUUAUGUGCCUUCAUAACCUCCAAACAGAAAUAUCAACAUGAUUAUAUAUGUUAAUUAUAAAUAUACAAACCUAAUCUUAGUACAUGUAUUUAUAUGUUGAAUCUGAGCUAAGGAUUUUGCAACUCUUGGUUUGUCUUUUUUAAUUAUUAGCAAUGAUAUUUAAAACUUACAGUCAAAAUUAAUCUUAAUAUGCAAAUAUUAUUUAUUUAAACCAUUAUUUAUUUGUUAACAGUUUCCUGACUAUGAGUUAUUUUUUCAAUAUUCCCUUGAAAAAUGAAUAAUAAAUGUUUGAAAAUCUA